UGCGGAGGGAUCAUUACUGAGUUUACGCUCUACAACCCUUUGUGAACAUACCUAUAACUGUUGCUUCGGCGGGUAGGGUCUCCGCGACCCUCCCGGCCUCCCGCCUCCGGGCGGGUCGGCGCCCGCCGGAGGAUAACCAAACUCUGAUUUAACGACGUUUCUUCUGAGUGGUACAAGCAAAUAAUCAAAACUUUUAACAACGGAUCUCUUGGUUCUGGCAUCGAUGAAGAACGCAGCGAAAUGCGAUAAGUAAUGUGAAUUGCAGAAUUCAGUGAAUCAUCGAAUCUUUGAACGCACAUUGCGCCCGCCAGCAUUCUGGCGGGCAUGCCUGUUCGAGCGUCAUUUCAACCCUCAAGCUCUGCUUGGUGUUGGGGCCCUACAGCUGAUGUAGGCCCUCAAAGGUAGUGGCGGACCCUCUCGGAGCCUCCUUUGCGUAGUAACUUUACGUCUCGCACUGGGAUCCGGAGGGACUCUUGCCGUAAAACCCCCAAUUUUCCAAAGGUUGACCUCGGAUCAGGUAGGAAUACCCGCUGAACUUAAG
rnacentral:rRNA from 1 species